rnacentral:rRNA from 1 species
AUGACAGGUCAAGCCGAUUCGGGCACAACUGCUGAGUUGCAGCUUGAGUCAUUGGAGUUGGACAUCAAGACGCGGCAGCGCGACAGAGAAGAAGAUCGCAAAGAAUUUCAGCAGUUCCAGGCGACAGUGAACGGAAACUUUGCUACGAUGCAGAAGAAUUUUGACAAAAUCCAAGACAAUUUCAGGCAUUUACUAUUGGAUCCGGAGCCAAUUACUGUAGAGGAAAGAGAGGAAGGUCAGGGCAGUGUCCAAGUCAAGGACAACCACAAUCACUCUCCACAAAUAUCUCCUGGACGACCCAAACAACUCCAAGCUCCGACUCCUCCGUUAGUAACAAUGCCAGAGAAAGGAGCCCCUUUGCUAGUGGGAAAUGCAACUCUGCAUGAUCACACUGGAAAAGAGCUCAAUUUGGAUGGAACUCUGAAAGUACCUUACAGACAUCCAAAUUUUGGUCAAGGAAAAGAAACAACACCAAACAUUGUGGGGCAAAUGGAGGAAAGGCAGGAGGAAGAGGUCAUUGAUCCACAGUAUAGAAGAGGGCCCAAUUUCCCUGUUGAUGGAAGAAGAAAUGUACUAACUGUAAAGCCGGCAAAGUUAAAUAUCUCUGAAUUUGAAGGUCAAGACCCAGAGUCUUGGAUUCAGAAUUUAGAGCAGUAUUUUGCUGCAUCCAAAACUCCUAUUGAGCACAGAACUGAACUGGCCAUCUCUUACCUCAAAGGGCCUGUUGUACAGUGGUGGAGAGGAACAGGAUUUGCUCCUAGCAAUGUUCCAUGGCACAAAUUUUGCUCUUACAUUUCUGAUAGAUUUUCUGUGGACUCUGUUUGUGACAUUGUCAGCUCUUUCCAUGCAGCACAACAAACUACUACAGUCACUGCAUAUAUGGAGCAGUUUGAGCAACUAAUGAACAUCAUGAGAAGGGAAAACCCUGGAAUCCCUGAUGAUUACUAUGUUUCCAGUUUUGUGGCAGGACUUAACCCAUAUAUUAAGACUCAUGUGGAGUGCUUCAGGCCUAAGGAUAUGCAAACUGCAGUGUGCUAUGCUAGGAGAAUGGAAAAAGCUCAAGUACCAACUACAGCAGUGCAAACUAAACCAUAUAUUCCUCAACCGAGAAGGCAAGUAAUAUUUGAUCAGCCCAAAACUCCUGUACCUACUGCCACACCAAACAGAAAUACUGUUAUUCAGCAGGCAAAACAAAACCAAGUAUGUUACAAGUGCAAAGAGCCAUGGGUGCCAGGUCACAGGCAGGUCUGUAAAAUGAGCCAGAGAGCUCAGAUCCAAGCAUUACAAGCUCAGGAAGUUGAAAACCCUGAAACAAUAUUUGUCACAGACUUUGAUGACCCUGAUUUGGAAACACAGGAGCAGUUAUCUAGUGAAGCAGUGUUAAGAGUGUCAAUGCAUGCUGCUAUGGGCAUAGGAUCAACCAAAAAUACUUUUAUUUUGACUGUAAAAGUAGGAAAUACAGUUGCCACAGCACUGGUGGAUAGUGGUAGCACUUCUACCUUCAUUUCUCCUGAAAUGGCAACCAAGUUACCUAUCACUACAAGCCCUACAUCCAAGAUAAAGGUGGUGGUUGCUAGUGGGGGAGUGCUAUGGACUGAAUUUCAAGCAAAAGAUUGCCCUUAUGAAAUACAAGGCCAUCACUUUACUGACAGCUUCAGAGUGUUGAAACUGAAGGGGUAUGACAUGAUUUUGGGAGUUGAUUGGCUCGGGAAAUAUAGUCCAAUACAAAUGGACUUUAUUAAAAUGGAAAUGAAAAUUUCUGACAGCUCUGGACAGUUUAUCACAUUUCUGGAUGAGACUGUUCCCCUGGCUCCUGUAGCUGAAACCAAGGACAACACUGAAAAACUGUUAGAACAAGCUGUUUGUGGAUUUUUCUUGUUCACAACUUCUGGUACUGAAUUUACAGCAGCUGGUCCAGAAAUCCCUACUGAAUUGCAACCACUGUUGGACCAGUAUGAACAGCUGUUUCAAGAGCCAACUGAAUUGCCACCAAGUAGACCUUGUGAUCACAUAAUUCCCUUAGUGGAAGGAGCAAAGGUAGUUAACCAAAGGCCUUAUAGAAUUCCUCACCAUCAGAAGGAAAUUUUGGAGAAAAUCAUUAAUGAGCUACUGAAAAAUGGGAUCAUCAGACCUAGCACAAGCCCUUUUUCUUCUCCUGUGCUCCUGGUCAAGAAAAAAGAUGGAUCUUGGAGGUUAUGCACUGAUUACAGAAAAUUGAAUGCUAUAACAAUCAAAAAUAAAUAUCCCAUUUCUGUGAUUGAGGACCUCUUGCAUCAACUCAAAGGAGCAAAGAUAUUCUCCAAAAUUGAUCUCAGAAAUGGAUAUCACCAAAUCAGGAUGGCAGAAGAAGAUAUACCAAAGACUGCAUUCACUACUCACAUGGGACUGUUUGAAUUUCUAGUUAUGUCCUUUGGACUAACUAAUGGCCCUCCAUCCUUCCAGGCAUUGAUGAACUUGUUGUUUGUCCAUCUCAAAUUUGUUGUGGCUUUCUUUGAUGAUAUCUUGGUGUCCAGUUUCUCUCUGGAAGAGCACAAGGACCACUUAAAGCAGGUGUUUGAUAUAUUGCAAACAAACAAACUAUAUGCAAAAAUGGAAAAGUGCUCUUUUGGACAGCAGGAGAUUGAAUAUUUGGGUCAUGUUAUUAACUCUGAGGGAGUCUCUACUGACCCAUCUAAGAUACAAUCCAUUAGAGAUUGGCCAGCUCCUACUACUAUAACUGAACUGAGAAGCUUUUUGGGGCUAAGUGGUUAUUACAAAAGAUUUAUCCAAGGAUAUGGAGUAAUUUGUAGACCACUAUUUGAUUGCUUAAAGAAGGAGGGUUUUUCCUGGAAGGAAGAACAACAAGAAGCAUUUCUGACAUUGAAAAACAAGCUUACCAACACCCCUGUGUUAGCAUUGCCUGAUUUCUCCAAACCUUUCAUUUUGGAAACUGAUGCUAGUGGGUAUGGAUUGGGAGCUGUGUUGAUGCAAGAGGGAAAACCUAUAUCUUAUUUCAGCAAGAGCAUUAGCCCCAAAGCAGAUGCAAUGAGCACUUAUGACAAGGAAGCCUUGGCCAUAAUUGAAGUUGUUAAGAAGUGGAAGCAUUAUUUCUUAGCUACUUCCUUAGUGAUCAGAACUGAUCAAGAAAGUUUGAAAUAUAUUCAGGAACAGAAAAUUACCAAGGGCAUUCAGCAUAAACUGUUACUGAAGUUCCUAGGGUAUAACUUUAUAAUUGAGUACAAAAAAGGAAAGGAGAACAAGGUGGCUGAUGCAUUAUCGAGAGUGAAACACAUGAUUCAUACAUUAACUGCAACUGCUGCUUAUCCUGCUUGGGUCAAGGAAGUCGUAGGAAGCUAUCAUUAG